GUUUUGGGUAGAGCACUUUUGCUGGUUUCUGGCAUGUUCUCAAGCAUUGAAGAUUCAUAUGUCAGAGGAACAUUGCGAAUUUUUACAAGAUUGCAGAAAAAGGGAAUGAAGUCAAAUCAAGCCGGUCCAUCAAAUAUGAUAUUGGCGGAGCAAAUUCUUGUUUCUCCACUGCUGCAAUGGUCACAGGAUAUAGAGGCACAUGUCGAAAAUACACGCGGAGAGCCCCACAUUGUAUGCGAGUCAUCAGUUUUUGGUGCGGGAAAGUACAGUAUCAUCUUUAACGGAGUAAUACUUGCUUCCAGUGUCUCAUUUAUUG